rnacentral:lncRNA from 1 species
AAAGGCUUCAGAUCUGCCCCCUUCUCACUGCCUGCUGUCCUGCACUGGGCAGGGUUGCUGUGCUUUAAUUUUUCCCAGGGCUAACCCCGGUGGCAGCCCGAGCAUCUCUGAAGGCCACGACGCCUCUGACCCCAUGGGACUCCGCGGCGGGAAAGCGCUAGUGUCGCGUAACAGAACGAUCUCACAGCGCAUCGGAUUCAGAUAUUAAUGGCUUUAUUCUGACUUCCUGUUCUUAUGCACAUGUAUCUCUUUUCCCUGUAGAUCUUCUGUUUGGCUGGAUGGCUACUUUGACUGCCAGAUUCAAAGAGAAAAAGCCCAUAAAAUUCACAAAUGCGCAGUCACAUGUCUAGUUUUUGCUCAGCCGCAUCUAGAGAAUGACUUAAAUGUGGGCACUGGGGCCUGUCUUUGCUUUUUGAUUGUUUAAGACUCAGAAAUGCCCAGAUUUUCAGAGCAUAGAAUUGUCCCAAUUCAAAGUAUAGUAUGAAGGGACUGGGAAUUUGGUUAAUGAAAAUAAUACAUCUCAAUUUAAUUUUUAAAACGUAUGUCUCCUUUUAAAUAAGGACUCUUACUAUGUAUGCAUUACUGAGGACGACAUGAUGUACAUCGGCUUACAGAGAGCGAAAUCUUCUGUUAUGUUAACCUUCAUGCUGUUUCUUUUCUCAUCUUUUACAAAUCCUAAAUUUGAAAAUCCCAGCCUGCGAUGAUGGCUGCUGGGAAGGCCGUGUGUGUCGUUCCUCUUUGGGAUCGGGUGGUAUGAACGCCUCCGUCUGCACCCAUUGUCCAGGGGCUUCGAUGACAUUGGUUACAGCUCCUGUCCCCACAUUGAAUGUGGAUUCGACAACUGCAGGAAGGUGCCUCCCAGGAUUCCUGGAUCCCCUGGAUGCUGGGUAGAUGAGCCUGUGUCUCCCUAUAGAAGUCUGAAUGUUCCAGUUUGGGAAAAUGGUGCCUCGAUUUGGUUGCCUUUGGAUUUGAACAGUAUUCUAUCAUGCUCAGUGUCUCUACUUAAAUGUGGAUUUAAAAUAUUUCCCCCUAAAAUAUAUCUUUAUUUUAUUCAUAGUGCAAUAAAGCACUGAGUGUUUGGAAAGACUCAAACUUCUGGGAGAUAAGCUGUGUAUCCUAUAGUUUGGUCUUACUGAGAAAUUUUUAAUUUUUUCCUCAGCAUCAAACAUGUUGUAUUUCAGUCCUAAAGGGAUAGGUUAGACUAUUCAAAAUACCAAAUAUUUUCCUAGGAAAGGUCACUUAAACACAACUUCUAAAUGCAGGCAACAUCCGAGUGUGGUGGUUCACGCCUGGAAUCCCGGCACUUUGAAAGUUAUGGCGGCAGGAUUGCUCAAACUCCUGACCUCAGGUGAUCCACCUGCCUUGGCCUCCCAAAGUGCUGGGAUUAUCGGCAUGAGCCACCACGCCCAGCUCAUUAUUAAUAUUUACUAUGUUGGAGUAUUUUCUUAACAUUUAAAAAUUAAAAUAUUUCCUAAAAUAUUUAAGUAUUUAUUCAAUAUUAAAAACAAUGUAUUAAAAUUGUUUUACUUUUGAGCCAUUGACCCAUUUUGGGUGUUGGGGAGAGAACACAGCCUAACUAUAACUAAUAUGCAUAUGAUAAAUGUAAACAACACACAAAUAUUAGGAAAAUAUCUGAGGCAAGGUAUGUGCACUAUUGAAUGUCAUCUGAGAACUGACCAAUGAGAUUGUUCCAGUGCACUUAUUUUAAGAACAUACCAAUUAUGAAAACUUAAUGAGAGUUCUAUGAAAAUCAUAACUUAUAAAACAUUUAAGAUAUGUGAAAUGUGUGUAUAAAAUAAUUCCAUCACUGUUUCAUCUUUAACCACCAAACCAUCACCUGAUAGCCGUUCACCUGAUAGCAGCAAGAACAAGCAGGCCAACACACUCCACAUUGGUGAGAUGACAUUAAUCCUCCCGGUAGCCUUCAUGGACGUUGAUACUAUCACCACUUAUAGACAAGACCAGUGAUGCCAGCUGGGGUCAAGGAGCAGGGGAGGGCAGAGCAUGCACCCCCAUAGCAUGCUGCCUUCCUGUAGAAAUCCUAGCGGACCUUAGGGACCUGGAGAGAGAGAAGCAGGGAAGAACACUGGGA